rnacentral:rRNA from 1 species
UGAGGAAUAUUGGUCAAUGGGCGUGAGCCUGAACCAGCCAAGUAGCGUGCAGGAAGACGGCCCUAUGGGUUGUAAACUGCUUUUAUGCGGGGAUAAAGGAGUCCACGUGUGGAUUUUUGCAGGUACCGCAUGAAUAAGGACCGGCUAAUUCCGUGCCAGCAGCCGCGGUAAUACGGAAGGUCCGGGCGUUAUCCGGAUUUAUGGGGUUUAAAGGGAGCGUAGGCCGCGUUUUAAGCGUGUUGUGAAAUGUAGACGCCCAACGUCUGCAUCGCAGCGCGAACUGGGACGCUUGAGUACGCGCAACGUUGGCGGAAUUCGUCGUGUAGCGGUGAAAUGCUUAGAUAUGACGAGGAACUCCGAUUGCGAAGGCAGCUGACGGGAGCGGCACUGACGCUUAAGCUCGAAGGUGCGGGUAUCGAACAGG